AUGGCCAUCUCCGCCACCUCCAGCCUCGCGCUCCACGCGGCCCCGUCCGCCGCCCGGCGCCGCAUGCGCAGCGUCGUCGCCUCCGCAACGCGGUUCGACCGGCGCUCGGCCGUGCUCCUCCUGCUGUCGGCCGCGGGUGCCGGGUCGUCGUUGGCGGCGGUGGCGCCGUCUGCGAACGCUGCCGGCAGCAUCGGGCUCUUCGGCAUCCGGAAGAAGCUGGAGCGGGCGGAGGAGGCCGCGCGGGAGGUGGGCGAGGCCGCGGUGGAGGCCGUGGAGGCCGGCGGGGAGGCGGUGGCGGAGGCCGGGAAGGAGGUCGCCGGGGAGGGCAUGCAGCUGGCCGCCGAGGCGGGGCUCGCCGGCGACGCGCUCGUGCAGGCCGGCGUGGUCGCCGGCGCAGAGGCGCUCGGGGUCCUCGUCGGCUUGUCCGUCGUCAACGGCAUCCUCAAGCCCGAGGCCUAG
rnacentral:rRNA from 1 species